ACAAUCCAAGCAAAAUAGCACCUCCAGAAUCUGUGAUCCCAGUGUAAACCCAGCCAAUUCCAUGUCUACAUCAACUCACUCAACAGAUUCUUCAGAAAUUACUUUUCCAAAAUUAAAAAGUCCUGGCUCAAAAUCUGUUGAAUCUUCCAGCACUUCUGAAAGUGGUGAAUGGCAACAUUUUGAGGAGGAUGCUGCUGAUGAUAAACUUGAAGAUUUAGAUGAUGAUUUCUCAAGG